GCUGCUGUUUAACAGGCUCUUAACCAAUGGUGCUGGAGGAGAUGGCUGCUGUUUAACAGGCUCUUAACAAAUGGUGCUAUUGUGUGUUUGUGUUAUUUGUAAGUUGUUUUGUCCAUAAUGUUUCUGCCACCGUCUCUUAUGACUGAAAACAGCUUCUGGAUAUCAGGACAGUGAUUACUCACCUCGUACUGGACAAAGAUCUUUUUUAACGAGUUGGACUUGAAGGAUUUACUUCAGACACCUGACAAGGCCCUCAUCCUCGUCAUACGCAGGAGAAAGAGACAGAGAUAUCGGGGACGUAGGUCGGGAUGCCUUGUAAGGAAUUGAUGGCGAGUGGGUAAUCUGCCUCUACCUAUUAGCCUGUAAGGACAGACGCUGGGAGACGAGAAGCAAGUACAGGGAGUGAACAUUUAAUAAAUAACGGACAUGAAACAAAACACGGACAGCGUCUGGACGGGAAACAAAACGACAUUAAUGCUGACUCGGGAAAUAAACUGAGGAAGUGACAGAUAUCGGGGAGGUGAUUAGUAACGUGAUGGAAAGAAACUGAGGAAGUGACAGAUAUCGGGGAGGUAAUUAGUAACGUGAUGGAGUCCAGGUGAGUCCAGGUGAGUCCAGGUGAGUCCAGGUGAGUCCGAUGACGCGUUGAUGUGUGUAACGAUGGUGGGAGGUGUGAGUAAUGAUCAGCAGCCUGGCGACCUCGAGCGACCUCGAGGGCGAGCAGACGUGACAUAGCCUGGAUAACAAAAUAGAUGAGCUACGAUCACAAAUAUCCUACCAACGGGAUAUUAACUGUAACAUCUUAUGUUUCACCGAGUCGUGGCUGACAUGGAUAACAUACAGCUGGGUGUACGCUGCAUCGGCAAGAUAGAACAGCUGCCUCCGGUAAGACAAGGGUUGACGGUCUGUGUCUAUUUGGAAACAACAGCUGGUGCACGAAAUCUAAUAUUAAGGAAGUCUCAAGGUUUUGCUCGCCUGAGGUAGAGUAUCUCAUGAUAAGCUGUAGACCACACUAUUUACCAAGAGAGUUUUAAUCUAUAUUUUUCAUAGCUGUCUACCACCACAAACUGAUGCUGCCAUUAAGACCGCAAACAAUGAGCUGUAUAAGGC
rnacentral:lncRNA from 1 species